AGUGAACGCUGGCGGUAGGCCUAACACAUGCAAGUCGAACGGCAGCACAGUAAGAGCUUGCUCUUACGGGUGGCGAGUGGCGGACGGGUGAGGAAUACAUCGGAAUCUACUUUUUCGUGGGGGAUAACGUAGGGAAACUUACGCUAAUACCGCAUACGACCUACGGGUGAAAGCAGGGGAUCUUCGGACCUUGGGCGAUUGAAUUAGCCGAUGUCGGAUUAGCUAGUUGGCGGGGUAAAGGCCCACCAAGGCGACGAUCCGUAGCUGGUCUGAGAGGAUGAUCAGCCACACUGGAACUGAGACACGGUCCAGACUCCUACGGGAGGCAGCAGUGGGGAAUAUUGGACAAAGGGCGCAAGCCUGAUCCAGCCAUACCGCGUGGGUGAAGAAGGCCUUCGGGUUGUAAAGCCCUUUUGUUGGGAAAGAAAAGCAGCAGGUUAAUACCCCGCUGUUCUGACGGUACCCAAAGAAUAAGCACCGGCUAACUUCGUG
rnacentral:rRNA from 1 species